UUCACCCCCAUCUCGGUGGAGACACCUUCCUGGGCCCUGGAGGAAGAGCAGAUCCGGGCAUCCUGGCUUCCCUACUCUCUCCAGCUGCCUGGCUUCCUGGCUUCCUGAUAGAUGGUCCAGCUAGCACAAGGAACUGAGUUCCUGGAAAAUCUGACUUCACCUCUACCUAGACCCCCUCCUCUGUCAGAUUUGUCCCCCAAGUUCUGCUACGAAUGAUUCUGCCCGAGAGGUACUGCAGACUAGGCAGGAAGGAGUUAACGAAGCUACCGGGCUCAAAGUGACAGCCAGGAACUCCUUUCUGAUGGUGGACUCUGCCUACUUAUUCAUUCAACAAAUACCUAUUGAGAUCUACUAUGUGCCAGGCACUGGACUAGAACUAGACAUAUGUUAGUGACAAAACAGAUAAGGUCCUUACUCUUACACAGCUGACAGCCUAGCUGGGGACAGACAGGUAAACAGAGGAUUUCAAUUCAGUGUAAUUAGGGGUUAGGGAGCACUUAGGAAAGACCUUACCCGUGUUUUGGGUAACUGCAGUGUGGAUCACCAUCUGAACUGAGACUUCAUACAAGCCUCAGGUGUGGUUCAAUCCAGGCAGACAGUGCAUAUCUCACUGGGGUUCCAAAGAUAGACAGGAUUGCAGCAAGAGGUCUAGACCAGAUGUCAUAAGAGAUCACUAAGGCUUAAUUUCCAUAAAAUCCCUUGCUAAUAAAUUCUCCAAGUCCCCAAAGAAAGAAGAUGGGCCUGAGAGUCCAGAGUAUGUGACAUCAGCCUAGUCAGUCCCACUCUCUGGGCCUUACUUCAUUCUUCUUGUUCUUUUUUAACCUACCUCUCAGGCAAGAUCUUGGUUUUCUUCAAAUAUUAAAAAGAAAGAAAGAUGGGUUGAAUUUAGCUCCAAGAUCUUUAUUCUGAAGACCACAAUUAGAUAGCAGGCUUGUUGAGAGGGAUAAACACUUAGCUUUAACCAGCAUGGGGAGGGGGCAGAGUUCUUAAACCCAGAAGCAGGUGCUUGCCUAGUGUGUGCAGGGUCCUGGGUUUGAUCCCCAGCACCACAAAAUAAAUAAGCAUAAAGCUAGGAGAAGUUAUCAGAGGCAGGAUCCUCAAAAGAAGUCGAAACCAGUCAACCCUACUCCUUGCCUGCUGCCCACUGGUCUGGCAGUUCUAAGUCCUGGGAACAUAAUUCUUGCCAUUUAAUUCUUGUGUUAAAGGCAAGAGCCUUUCUGAGAUACUUCUGGGAGCAGAGUGCUUUGGGGGGCAGUGCUUACAUUACUUUUAUAUGUAGCACUACAGAACUGAUAUUUUUAAGAGGUGAAAGGCUUCCACACUGGUGAAAGGACUUGCCUGAGAUCACGUGGUGGAUGAGUGAUAGCUGGAAGUCUAAUUCCACAUCCAGACUCUUUCCACGACACCACCAUAGCACUUGUUUCCAACUUUCCAUUGGACUUCUUCCUGUGUCUGGCUCAUUUCCCUGUGAGGCCAUAAGAUCUGGGAAGGCAGGCUUGGCCUCCUUAUCUGGACCCCCCAGAGCCUGGACGUGGUGCUCAGAACUGCUAGUCUCCCAGGUACCCCCUUUUUUCUCCAAGCCUAACCCUAUUGACACGCAUAUAGACCCCUGGGUCAUUUUUUAAAAGCUUCCCUGGAUUAUGGACAAAGCCCUGGCCAGGCAUAGUCAAAGUACCAGUCAGACCUAAAACCUGGUCUGUGACUUGAAGUAAACUGAUUAACACUGAUUAACUUCCCUAGCCUUCAAGUUCUGUUGAGACCCAUAACCUAACUCCUAGGCCUUUUGUAACUUGAAAUCCAAGCUUGGGAAGUGUUUUUAAAAAACAUAGCUCA